rnacentral:tRNA from 1 species
CCGCGCUUAGCUCAGUUGGCUAGAGCACCUGACUGUAGAUCAGGGGGUCCCCGGUUCAAGUCCGGACCACCUU